rnacentral:rRNA from 1 species
CUUAAGUGGGGAAUAACGCAUCGAAAGAUGUGCUAAUACCGCAUAAUCUCUGAGGAGGAAAGCAGGGGAUCGUAAGACCUUGCGCUUUUGGAGCGGCCGAUGUCUGAUUAGCUAGUUGGUGGGGUAAUGGCCUACCAAAGCUUCGAUCAGUAGCUGGUCUGAGAGGACGGCCAGCCACACUGGGACUGAGACACGGCCCAGACUCCUACGGGAGGCAGCAGUGGGGAAUUUUGGACAAUGGGCGCAAGCCUGAUCCAGCCAUGCCGCGUGAGUGAAGAAGGCCUUCGGGUUGUAAAGCUCUUUCAGCCGGGAAGAAAAGGCUGCGACUAAUAAUCGCAGUUCAUGACGGUACCGGAAGAAGAAGCACCGGCUAACUACGUGCCAGCAGCCGCGGUAAUACGUAGGGUGCGAGCGUUAAUCGGAAUUACUGGGCGUAAAGGGUGCGCAGGCGGUUUUGUAAGUCAGAUGUGAAAUCCCCGGGCUUAACCUGGGAACUGCGUUUGAAACUACAAAGCUAG